UUUUAUUUGAGAGUUUGAUCCUGGCUCAGGAUGAACGCUGGCGGCGUGCCUAACACAUGCAAGUUGAGCGAUUUACUUCGGUAAAGAGCGGCGGACGGGUGAGUAACGCGUGGGUAACCUACCCUGUACACACGGAUAACAUACCGAAAGGUAUGCUAAUACGGGAUAAUAUAUUUGAGAGGCAUCUCUUG
rnacentral:rRNA from 1 species